rnacentral:rRNA from 1 species
CACUGUUAACGGUGGAUCACUUGGCUCGUACGUCGAUGAAAACGAGGCGAGACUCGAAGUUAUGUGAUUGCAGCCACGUGAACAUAGAAUUU